GAUGAACGCUGGCGGCGUGCCUAAUACAUGCAAGUCGAGCGAACGGACGAGAAGCUUGCUUCUCUGAUGUUAGCGGCGGACGGGUGAGUAACACGUGGAUAACCUACCUAAAGACUGGGAUAACUUCGGGAAACCGGAGCUAAUACCGGAUGAUAUUUUGAACCGCAUGGUUCAAAAGUGAAAGACGGUCUUGCUGUCACUUAUAGAUGGAUCCGCGCUGCAUUAGCUAGUUGGUAAGGUAACGGCUUACCAAGGCAACGAUGCAUAGCCGACCUGAGAGGGUGAUCGGCCACACUGGAACUGAGACACGGUCCAGACUCCUACGGGAGGCAGCAGUAGGGAAUCUUCCGCAAUGGGCGAAAGCCUGACGGAGCAACGCCGCGUGAGUGAUGAAGGUCUUCGGAUCGUAAAACUCUGUUAUUAGGGAAGAACAUAUGUGUAAGUAACUGUGCACAUCUUGACGGUACCUAAUCAGAAAGCCACGGCUAACUACGUG
rnacentral:rRNA from 1 species